rnacentral:rRNA from 1 species
AGAGUUUGAUCAUGGCUCAGGACGAACGCUGGCGGCAUGCCUAAUACAUGCAAGUCGAGCGGAAUGAUGAGAGCUUGCUCUCUGAUUUUAGCGGCGGACGGGUGAGUAACACGUGGGCAACCUGCCCUACAGAUGGGGAUAACUCCGGGAAACCGGGGCUAAUACCGAAUAAUCAGUUUGUCCGCAUGGGCAAACUCUGAAAGACGGUUUCGGCUGUCACUGUAGGAUGGGCCCGCGGCGCAUUAGCUAGUUGGUGGGGUAAUGGCCUACCAAGGUAACGAUGCGUAGCCGACCUGAGAGGGUGAUCGGCCACACUGGGACUGAGACACGGCCCAGACUCCUACGGGAGGCAGCAGUAGGGAAUCUUCCACAAUGGACGAAAGUCUGAUGGAGCAAUGCCGCGUGAGCGAAGAAGGUUUUCGGAUCGUAAAGCUCUGUUGUAAGGGAAGAACACGUACGGGAGUAACUGCCCGUGCCAUGACGGUACCUUAUUAGAAAGCCACGGCUAACUACGUGCCAGCAGCCGCGGUAAUACGUAGGGGGCGAGCGUUGUCCGGAAUUACUGGGCGUAAAGGGUGCGUAGGCGGGCUGUCAAGUCUGAUGUGAAAGGUUGCGGCUUAACCGUGAGAAGGCAUUGGAAACUGGCAGUCUUGAGUGCAGGAGAGGGAAGCGGAAUUCCCGGUGUAGCGGUGGAAUGCGUAGAUAUCGGGAGGAACACCAGUGGCGAAGGCGGCUUUCUGGACUGUAACUGACGCUGAGGCACGAAAGCUGGGGGAGCAAACAGGAUUAGAUACCCUGGUAGUCCCAGCCGUAAACGAUGGAUACUAGGUGUUGGCGGUUCAGACCGUCAGUGCCGGAGCUAACGUGAUAAGUAUCCCGCCU